rnacentral:misc_RNA from 1 species
UUUCCGUAGGUGAGCCUGCGGAAGGAUCAUUACAGAGUUCAUGCCCUCACGGGUAGAUCUCCCACCCUUGAAUAUUUACACCUUAGUUGCUUUGGCAGGCCGUGGAAACACCAUGGGCUCCGGCUUAUGCGUGCCUGCCAGAGGAAACAAACUCUGUUUUUAGUGAUGUCUGAGUACUAUAUAAUAGUUAAAACUUUCAACAACGGAUCUCUUGGUUCUG